rnacentral:rRNA from 1 species
GAUGAACGCUGGCGGCGUGCCUAAUACAUGCAAGUCGAGCGAACGGACGAGAAGCUUGCUUCUCUGAUGUUAGCGGCGGACGGGUGAGUAACACGUGGAUAACCUACCUAUAGGACUGGGAUAACUUCGGGAAACCGGAGCUAAUACCGGAUAAUAUUUUGAACCGCAUGGUUCAAAAGUGAAAGACGGUCUUGCUGUCACUUAUAGAUGGAUCCGCGCUGCAUUAGCUAGUUGGUAAGGUAACGGCUUACCAAGGCAACGAUGCAUAGCCGACCUGAGAGGGUGAUCGGCCACACUGGAACUGAGACACGGUCCAGACUCCUACGGGAGGCAGCAGUAGGGAAUCUUCCGCAAUGGGCGAAAGCCUGACGGAGCAACGCCGCGUGAGUGAUGAAGGUCUUCGGAUCGUAAAACUCUGUUACUAGGGAAGAACAUAUGUGUAAGUAACUGUGCACAUCUUGACGGUACCUAAUCAGAAAGCCACGGCUAACUACGUG